rnacentral:rRNA from 1 species
UACGUAGGGUGCAAGCGUUAAUCGGAAUACUGGGCGUAAAGCGUGCGCAGGCGGUUUUGUAAGUUUGUCGUGAAAGCCCCCGGGCUUAACCCUGGGGAAUGGCCAUGGAAACUGGCGAACUGGAGUGUGGCAGAGGGGGGGUGGAAUUCCGCGUGUAGCAGUGAAAUGCGUAGAGAUGCGGAGGAACACCGAUGGCGAAGGCAGCCCCCUGGGCUAGCACUGACGCUCAGGCACGAAAGCGUGGGGAGCAAACAGG